UACGGAGGGUGCAAACGUUGCUCGGAAUCAUUGGGCGUAAAGCGCACGUAGGCGGCUCGUUAAGUCGGAUGUGAAAGCCCUCGGCUCAACCGAGGAAGUGCAUACGAAACUGGCGAGCUUGAAUAUGGAAGAGGGUCGCGGAAUUCCCGGUGUAGAGGUGAAAUUCGUAGAUAUCGGGAGGAACACCAGUGGCGAAGGCGGCGACCUGGGCCAAUAUUGACGCUGAGGUGCGAAAGCGUGGGGAGCGAACAGG
rnacentral:rRNA from 1 species